AGCUUUGUGCAGUGGCAGUAUCGUCGCCAAUGAGGUUUAUCCGAGGCAUGAUUAUUGCUAAUUGUAAACUUUUCCCAAUACCCUGCCAUGAUGACUUGAAACACAUUUGGUUACAUUUGGUUUACAGACUGAUGG